AUACGUAGGGGGCGAGCGUUGUCCGGGAUGAUUGGGCGUAAAGGGCGCGUAGGCGGCCCGGUAAGUCUGGAGUGAAAGUCCUGUUUUUAAGAUGGGAAUUGCUUUGGAUACUGUCGGGCUUGAGUGCAGGAGAGGUAAGUGGAAUUCCCAGUGUAGCGGUGAAAUGCGUAGAGAUUGGGAGGAACACCAGUGGCGAUGGCGACUUACUGGACUAUAACUGACGCUGAGGCGCGAAAGUGUGGGGAGCAAACAGGAGUAGAUACCCUGGUAGUCCACACUGUAAACGAUGAAUGCUAAGUGUAGGGGGUAUCGACCCCUUCUGUGCCGCAGUCAACACAAUAAGCAUUCCGCCUGGGGAGUACGGCCGCAAGGUUGAAACUCAAAGGAAUUGACGGGG
rnacentral:rRNA from 1 species